GUUGCCCCAAUUAGCUCCGCAAAAUUGCGUCUCUGCUUGUUACCAGCUAUGGAAGAGAAAGGUUCAGCUGCUAGUAGAGUAUUUCUUCAGGAAAAGGAAGAUUCGAACCAGAGUUUUUCCGAAGAGGAAGAUAUGGACGAUGACGAAUGGAUGACAAAUGACAAUUGUUCCUUAGAAAACAAGGGAGGUUUAGGAGUCCUUUCCCAGCUUGAACGACUCACAGAUGUCAAAAGACUUCAUCAUUCAACCGAUACAGUGAACUCUGAUCAGCUGGUACAGAGGCGGACAGGUUUAUGCGAAGA
rnacentral:misc_RNA from 1 species